rnacentral:rRNA from 1 species
CAGGCGCGAAAACUUUACAAUGCCGGCAACGGCGAUAAGGGGACCUCGAGUGCCAGGUUACAAAUCUGGCUGUCGUGAUGCCUAAAAAGCAUUGCAUAGCAAGGGCCGGGCAAGACCGGUGCCAGCCGCCGCGGUAACACCGGCGGCUCGAGUGGUAACCGUUAUUAUUGGGUCUAAAGGGUCUGUAGCCGGCCGGAUAAGUCUCUUGAGAAAUCCAGCAGCUCAACUGUUGGGCUUUCAGGAGAUACUGUCUGGCUCGAGGCCGGGAGAGGUGAGAGGUACUUCAGGGGUAGGGGUGAAAUCUUGUAAUCCUUGAAGGACCACCAGUGGCGAAGGCGUCUCACCAGAACGGACCUGACGGCAAGGGACGAAAGCUAGGGGCACGAACCGGAUUAGAUACCCGGGUAGUCCUAGCCGUAAACGAUACUCGCUAGGUGUCGGCCACGGUGCGACCGUUGUCGGUGCCGUAGGGAAGCCGUGAAGCGAGCCACCUGGGAAGUACGGCCGCAAGGCUGAAACUUAAAGGAAUUGGCGGGGGAGCACCACAACGGGUGGAGCUUGCGGUUUAAUUGGAUUCAACGCCGGAAAUCUUACCGGGACCGACAGCAAUAUGAAGGCCAGGCUGAAGACUUUGCCGGAUUAGCUGAGAGGUGGUGCAUGGCCGUCGUCAGUUCGUACUGUGAAG